UACGAAGGGGGCUAGCGUUGUUCGGAUUUACUGGGCGUAAAGCGCAUGUAGGCGGAUAUUUAAGUCAGAGGUGAAAUCCCAGGGCUCAACCCUGGAACUGCCUUUGAUACUGGAUGUCUUGAGUAUGGAAGAGGUGAGUGGAAUUCCGAGUGUAGAGGUAAAAUUCGUAGAUAUUCGGUGGAACACCAGUGGCGAAGGCGGCUCACUGAUCCGUUACUGACGCUGAGGUGCGAAAGCGUGGGGAUCAAACA
rnacentral:rRNA from 1 species